AGGAGACGACAACGGCAUUCGCGGUAGCAAUGCCUUUGAUCGACUAGUUUUUUAUUCAAUUUUGAACAGUAAUUUUGUUGAGUUAUGCCUGGAUCUGUCCGUUUGACGCUAUUAGAGUUUAUUUGGAUAUUUAAGCUCAUUUUGCAUGUUAUCCUUCUUAUACAUUGGUUAGAUGCAAAUGUUGGAUGAGAUAUUUUUCAACUAGAACAAUGCAUUUUCUAGUUUUCUAUUGGCGUGUAUGAAUCUUUUCUAUGAAGCAUAAUUAAAGCUUUUAUUGAGCUUGUUUGGACAAG
rnacentral:misc_RNA from 1 species